rnacentral:lncRNA from 1 species
UUAAACAUCAACAUUCAUGUAUUACCCAUGACCCUAGAACAAUAGGGUUCUUAGCCACUCAUCUUCAUAUAAUCAUCAAAAAUAAUGUUUUCAAACAUAAAAUUAAUGAAUACUAGAGGAAGAAUGGAAUAAUUGCACAAAUUCGUGCUCUCGAUUGUCUUGUACUUUUAUUUCUCUCUCAACGUCACGCCCCCUCUCAAAAUAAGUUUAGGUUGGUUUUUAUAUGAGUUGGGGGCUUCUUGGGGCCAAAAUAACCGAGUCCUAGUCGAAACAGGACAACUUCACGUUUUGAGCGUCCGGGGCAGCGUGGGGCGCUGACCUUGGCGCUCAGCUUCUUAAACAUCCUGUAAACUACGCCACAUGCAUCGCCCCGACUGCUUGUGUCCCUCAAAUUUCACUUUCACUUUUUCUUCCCAAUUUCGCUCCAAUUCAUGUCCUUUUGUCACAAAUUUCAUCUCAAUGAUUCCUACACAUAGAAAUACCUCAAAUUAGCACAAAUCAUCAUAUUAUACAUCUCAAAUCUUCGAGACAUGAGCAAAAUAUGAGGCAAUAUAUAUCAAAAUAUGCAUACGUUAAGCCAAUUAUUGCUCACUCUCUAUCAUACUGGUCAUCCUUUCUACCUGAUGAUGUUGUUGUUUGGAAUGGUGAUAACUUUUUAGUGAAGUUUACUUUGAGAUAUCAUAAACUUAUAUAGGCCUAUUCUUAUUACACAUUUCAAAAUUGGUAAAAUAGUUAACUAUAUUUUUAUUUUUGCAAUAGAUAUCUCCAACUUUCUUAUACUGCCUCACUUUGCUUAAUUUUAAACAAAGACUCCUGUUUUUUUGUUUUAUUUUAAUUUAGUGUAUUUAUUUUAUCAACUUCAUUUUAGCUUUUUGCACAAGUUACCUUUUUUUUACCAGGGGUAAAUUAUCUAUCUAUCAAUAUCCAACUUGCACAAACUCUACUUUACACUUAACCCGUAAUGGAAGCUUUCAUAACCUUAUCAUAUUAAAGAUCAUAAAUUUUAGAAGUCUUUUUGAGGACAUGAAUGUUAUGACAGGUUUAAGAUUAUAAAAGUCUUUCGUUCCUUUUUAAAUACCCCAAGUUAAAGAGAAAGCAUAGUUCGUCCAUGUAUUAUGUCUUCUUAUCGAACUCCAAAGCAGGUCCAACCAACCCCUUCUCUUUCCAAGUGAAGCAACAAAUUAAACCCAAAGAUAAUAAGAAAAUCUUGUGGAAUCCUAAUUCAUUGAAGAUUUUGCUCAAACACUUACGGAGCAACAGAAAGCAGCGAUGGGAACACACAAUUCAAAUAAUAAAAAAUUGGAAAAGAUAAUACUUCGUAGUAUUGGAAAUAAGUGAUGAAGGGAAUCAGAACCGAAGGGGCCCAAGUAAUGCAAAAUAAUUAACAGAAAAUAAUACUAAUAUAAUGCUCACCUGAAGAAGCUGUAAAAUCUAUG